rnacentral:lncRNA from 1 species
CAUUAUUACCAAUGACGAUAUUGCUAAUUACAGGCUGCUGUGUGGAUUCUUGAGUCACAGCUCUUAUCCUUUUGGCCAGGUACGAUGGAGAUGCUCCAAGCAGCUGUCCUCCACCCCUGCUGGCUAGCUGGAUGUUUACACACCUUGAAAUGAAUGAGCAUCAGAUUCUGCUACAGCUGGUCCAGAACCGUGCAGCCAACAUAUUUACAUCACGAGGGCAGGAGGGAAAGAAGCAGACCGUUCUGAGCUGAACCUUCCCUAGCUGGACUUGGCCAACAGCAGAUUUGUUGAGUGGCUUUCACUGAUCAGCUUCAGAGCUCCUAUGUGCAGAGCCACAGUGCCCAAUAACAGCUCUGGCUGUGGGGAGGGCAGAGAGAAACACUUAUUCAAUAAAUCUCUGAAUGACAAAAUAGAAAACCA